rnacentral:rRNA from 1 species
UUGCACGCUGGCGGCAGGCCUAACACAUGCAAGUCGAACGGUAACAGGAAACAGCUUGCUGUUUCGCUGACGAGUGGCGGACGGGUGAGUAAUGUCUGGGAAACUGCCUGAUGGAGGGGGAUAACUACUGGAAACGGUAGCUAAUACCGCAUAACGUCGCAAGACCAAAGAGGGGGACCUUCGGGCCUCUUGCCAUCGGAUGUGCCCAGAUGGGAUUAGCUAGUAGGUGGGGUAACGGCUCACCUAGGCGACGAUCCCUAGCUGGUCUGAGAGGAUGACCAGCCACACUGGAACUGAGACACGGUCCAGACUCCUACGGGAGGCAGCAGUGGGGAAUAUUGCACAAUGGGCGCAAGCCUGAUGCAGCCAUGCCGCGUGUAUGAAGAAGGCCUUCGGGUUGUAAAGUACUUUCAGCGGGGAGGAAGGGAGUAAAGUUAAUACCUUUACUCAUUGACGUUACCCGCAGAAGAAGCACCGGCUAACUCCGUG